UAACAACGUAUUUUCUAAAAAGCUUUCUAUAAAAUCCAAUAUCUCUCUUCUAAUUUCAAGAUGACUAAUCCUAAUUCAGCACUGCAGUUUAUAUGAAGUACAAGCUUCCAUAUUUGAACUGGUUACAAUAUUUAUAAAAGACUCAACAGUCAGGCAACAAAUAUUCACGAAACUAAUUUAAUUGUAGUGAAAAUUACUAAUGUCUUAAAUGUGCACAUUAUUCUGAUGCAUGAAUGGCUGUAAGAUCAAUUAUGACACAGUUGAAAAGUUCAGGAACAAUUCAAAAAAAUAUAUCUAAACUUUUAUGAUUUUCUCUUGCAUAAGCGCAAAAGGUUUAGGAGCUGAUCUGUUUUUUUUCUUUUUCCUACAUGAGUUGGAGAAACUAGAAGUAGGAAUGUGUUUCACUUCUGCUGGUGAUGAAUCCAAUAGAGGAGAUGAAUACUUGAUUGUACUUUACUGACGUCUACAUGCUGUCCACACAUACCAGCCAUAGAAACACUGAUAGAUUUGCUUCUCUGGUGCCUAAACUACAUUGUAAGUGGGAUAAAUCAUCCUUUUAGACAUUUAAAGUGUAGUUGAUCAGUUUUUAAGCAAGGUGGUGUCUGAAGCUUGGCUGGAAUUUUUUUUUUAUCUUCUUGUAACACUUUGUCUUCCUUUCCCUCACAAGGACAUUUUGUUUUUGAUUUCAACAGUGGAGGCCCCACGCCUCCACCAGACUGGUACAAUCUGUACAGCCCCACAAUCAAUCAGAGAGACUCUGUUUUUGAAAGCAUGUUUAUUUUUAACAAGGGAUAAUAAUCUGAAAAUACGGUUCCAGAUAGAAAGCAAAUGGAGAAACAAGUUGUUUUCUAUGCUUUUGUGAUUUUUGUGUUGGACUGGAUAAGCACACACUUCUGGUGAAGUGCAUAAAGUGGCAACAGAUGGAUCAGGGUUUGGAUUGAAGCUAUGAAAAGGCAGCCCAAGGCAGAAGCAACCCAUGCAAGGUAAAGGAUUUUGGAUAUUUAAAUCAUGAAAAACUGAACUCUGUGGUUUAGUUUGUUUGAAAAUGGUAACUGACUAAAAAACAUGUAACUACUUUGAAAUGUGUAAGUUUGAAAUGUUCUCAUAUUAAAAGCCUAAUGGGACUAACGAGUGUAACAGUUGUCCUGGUUAAGGAGUCUCUACAUAUUUUGACGGUUAUGUCAACGACCACUUAAUAAAAACAAAGUUUAUUUUCCAAAAAUUUGGUUUCUCGAUUUGAAUCACAUAAAUACAUGAGACAUCCAUUGUAAUACAACUAUGAUAUAAAUAGCAUAUACUUUAAGAGAAAAUAAAUUGAAACUCACCCCUAAGAUACAUAUUAAAAGCAAAUAAGAUUAAAGUUAUAGGACUCUGACAGGGACUUAUUUAGAAAAUUAUCUAAAUUUGUAUGUUUUUUUCUGUAACAGUUUAAAAACAACUUUGCAUAGCAUGAAAAUUCGACUUUUUACUUUUCUAUCCUUUAUAAGCUUUGAUGCACAACAUUAAACUAUGUAUUUUUACUAAAACUGAUAAAAAAAAAAAAAAAAUCCACCAAAAAUGUUUUAUUUGAAAUACCUAUUUGGUAUUUCAAAUUCUCCAAUCAAAAGGAUUUAAAGUGCACUACUUUUAUCAUUAUCAUUACUUUUUAUCAUGACUUAUGCAAAUAAUAAAAAAAAACAAUUAAAAACAAUUGAGCCGUACACCUAAAAAAAUAGAAUAAAUGGGCACAGUCUCAAUGCAGAUCCUCUGUAACACAAGUGAUAUUAAUUUAUUUAUAUUGUAUUACAUUAGACACAAAGUAGGAGUAAUCAGUCCAUUAAAACCUUCCUUCUCAGAAUGUCAGUGUAUGGUAACCUUCUUGGACUCAUAUUCUCCUAGAGGGGCCAAAAUCAGCCAAAGGGUUCGAUAUAACAGGUAACUGAAUGAUAUACCAACUGUUGGACCUGGAAAUCUUAAACAUAACUAUAUAAUAUAUAAUAUAGUUUUCUUUUUACUGACGUUUAUGCAGAAUGGAUUCUGAGUGAUGAAUUUUAAAAUAAUAGUGUAAAGGGAUCAAUAUUUCAUUAUCUAAUGUUUUAUAUUGUACAUGCUCUGAUGCAAUUUAGGCUUUUCUUUCAUAUUAGAAAGUUCAAACUAUUGCGUGCAUUUAAUACAAAUGAGGAACUAUGCAUCGAAAUGUGUCAUUCUGGGAGAAUAGUGUUACACUUUGCCAGUAACUUUUGUUUUGUGUGUGUGUGUGUGUGUUGUGAAACCUUUUGGUCUUUUAGCAUUUUCAGCAGAUUUUCCUGCACAUUUCAAAGGUGGCACGCUUAUAAAGAUCCAGAUACACAUCAACUCUACUGAUGGUUUUAUUUUCCUGUCGAAUGGGAGUUUUACUUUCUGGUAUUGCUAGAUGCAUGCUUGGUAUGAGGGAUCACUGCAAAGUGCACAGUGCAAGCAGCUGUCUACUGUCACUCAUCCGGAAGGCUUACUGGCUACAAAUGGUGCUCUUUUACUCUAAACGUUUGAACCACUUUGAAUGCAAAACUGAACUUGACUACAUUGUUUGACUUAGAUCAAAAAAGGACCAAGCAUAGGUUUGGACUCCCCUUUGUCAUUCUGGGAUUUUUUUUUAUUAUUUUUAUGAUUUUUAACAUUUAACAUAAAUAAUAGUGCAAAAGUAUUUAGAAAUAUGUUGAAAAAAA